AGUGAACGCUGGCGGUAGGCCUAACACAUGCAAGUCGAACGGCAGCACAGUAAGAGCUUGCUCUUACGGGUGGCGAGUGGCGGACGGGUGAGGAAUACAUCGGAAUCUACUUUUUCGUGGGGGAUAACGUAGGGAAACUUACGCUAAUACCGUAUACGACCUACGGGUGAAAGCAGGGGAUCUUCGGACCUUGCGCGAUUGAAUGAGCCGAUGUCGGAUUAGCUAGUUGGCGGGGUAAAGGCCCACCAAGGCGACGAUCCGUAGCUGGUCUGAGAGGAUGAUCAGCCACACUGGAACUGGGACACGGUCCAGACUCCUACGGGAGGCAGCAGUGGGGAAUAUUGGACAAUGGGCGCAAGCCUGAUCCAGCCAUACCGAGUGGGUGAAGAAGGCCUUCGGGUUGUAAAGCCCUUUUGUUGGGAAAGAAAAGCAGCAGGUUAAUACCCCGCUGUUCUGACGGUACCCAAAGAAUAAGCACCGGCUAACUUCGUG
rnacentral:rRNA from 1 species